rnacentral:rRNA from 1 species
AAAUUGAAGAGUUUGAUCAUGGCUCAGAUUGAACGCUGGCGGCAGGCCUAACACAUGCAAGUCGAACGGUAACAGGAAGAAGCUUGCUUCUUUGCUGACGAGUGGCGGACGGGUGAGUAAUGUCUGGGAAACUGCCCGAUGGAGGGGGAUAACUACUGGAAACGGUAGCUAAUACCGCAUAACGUCGCAAGACCAAAGAGGGGGACCUUCGGGCCUCUUGCCAUCGGAUGUGCCCAGAUGGGAUUAGCUUGUUGGUGAGGUAACGGCUCACCAAGGCGACGAUCCCUAGCUGGUCUGAGAGGAUGACCAGCCACACUGGAACUGAGACACGGUCCAGACUCCUACGGGAGGCAGCAGUGGGGAAUAUUGCACAAUGGGCGCAAGCCUGAUGCAGCCAUGCCGCGUGUAUGAAGAAGGCCUUCGGGUUGUAAAGUACUUUCAGCGGGGAGGAAGGGAGUAAAGUUAAUAGCUUUGCUCAUUGACGUUACCCGCAGAAGAAGCACCGGCUAACUCCGUGCCAGCAGCCGCGGUAAUACGGAGGGUGCAAGCGUUAAUCGGAAUUACUGGGCGUAAAGCGCACGCAGGCGGUUGAUUAAGUCAGAUGUGAAAUCCCCGGGCUCAACCUGGGAACUGCAUCUGAUACUGGUCAGCUUGAGUC